CUAACGCACAACAGUGGAUGCCUUGGUCUUUCCAACCGAGAAAGGACGCGCAUGGCGGCGAAACUCGUCGGGGAGCUGUCACGAAGCUUUGAUCCGGCGAUAUCCGAAUGGGGCAACCCACCUUAAUUCGUUAAGGUAUUUAUAUCCCAAGUAAUCCUGCUUGCAGGGUUUAUUAAGGUAUAAAGGGGAACCUGGGGAACUGAAACAUCUAAGUACCCAGAGGAAUAUAAAUCAAUAUUGAGAUUCCGUAAGUAGCGGCGAGCGAAAUCGGAACAGCCUAAACCGCACUCAUGUUCUUUUAGAAUGUGAGAGUGGGGUUGCAGGAGCCCAAUGUGGUAGUUAUUGCGGUAGCAAAAAACUCUGGAAUGAGUUGCCAUAGAAAGUGAAAGCCUUGUAUGCGAAACCAAAAUAACACCUAGGGAUUUCCUAAGUAAUACGGUCGACAACUCCGUGUGAAUCUGGGGGAACCAUCCUCCAAGGCUAAAUAUUUGGAAAGGACCGAUAGUGAACUAGUACCGCGAGGGAAAGGUGAAAAGAAGGGCGAGACGCCCAGUGAAAUAGUAACUGAAACUGUGUGCGAACAAACCGACAAAGCCAUAUUUAUGUGGUGAUGUCGUGCCUAUUGAAGAAUGAGCCAGCGAGUAAUCGCAUACUGCAGCUUAAACUCUUUUAGAGUGAAGGCAUAGCGAAAGCGAGUGUGAAUAGCGCGAUUGUAGUAUGUGGUUGACCCGAAACCAGGUGAUCCAUCCAUGAGCAGGGUGAAGCCUCGUGAAAACGAGGUGGAAGCCCGAACCGGUUCAAGUUGCAAUUUGUUCGGAUGACUUGUGGAUAGCGGUAAUAUGCCAAUCGAACCUGGAGAUAGCUGGUUCUCCCCGAAAGGUCUUUAGGGACCGUGGCACUAAAAAGAGCAUUGGGGGUAGAGCUACUGGAUGGGACAACAAGGGGUAACCCGAGUUGUUUCAACCAAACUCCGAAUACCAAUGUGUAAAGUGCUAGACAGCCGUGUGGGGCUAAGCUCAUACGACAAAAGGGAAACAACCCAGACUCUCAGUUAAGGCCUCUAAAUUUUGACUAAGUUUAAAAGGAAGUCAUGUUCCUUAGACAGCUAGGAGGUUGGCUUAGAAGCAGCCAUCCUUUAAAGAUAGCGUAACAGCUCACUAGUCGACUGGAGCGUGGCGCCGAAGAUUUAUCGAGGAUUAAGUCAAAUGCCGAAGCUGGAGAUGUUUGUGCUUAUUUUUAAGCGCAAACGUGGUAGGGGAGCGUUCCAAGGGCGGUGAAGGUGAAUCGUAAGGUUUGCUGGAGCGCUUGGAAGUGAGAAUGCUGGCAUGAGUAGCGUACAAGUCCGGUGCGAAUCCGGACCGCCGAAUACCCAAGGUUUCCCCGGUGAAGUUCGUCUCCCGGGGGUUAGUCGGCUCCUAAGGCGAGGCCGAAAGGCGUAGUCGAUGGACAAUUGGUUAAAAUUCCAAUACUUAUUUUGAAUCGCCCACUCGCUUUACAGCGAGAGCUGGGGAAUGACCAAGCAGGAUAUCUAAAGCCGCUUAUUGAAUUGCGGUACAUAUUGUAAGGUAGAACUACCUGGAAAAUCCGGUAGUUUGUUUACCUGCGCAAGCAGGUAUAUCGUCGAGCAACGUGUAAAGUCUUAUGAGAAUAGGGCAAUUUUAGACCAUUCAGCUUGCAGGAAAAGUUUCGCAGCGAGAUUCAAAUUAAGCCGUACCACAAACCAACACAGGUGGGUUAGUCGAGUAGACUAAGGCGAUCGAGAGAAGGAGGGUUAAGGAACUCGGCAAACAAGCUGGACGUAACUUAGGGAGAUGUCCUACCCCGCACUAUUUAUAGAUGUGGGGUCGCAGCGAAUGAUUGUUGGUCGACUGUUUAUCAAAAACACAGGUCCGUGCAAAAGCGUAAGCUGAAGUAUACGGGCUGACGCCUGCCCAGUGCCGGUAAGUUAAGUGGAUGGGUUUUUCCAGUCUUCGGAUUGGAUUGGCUUUGAAAUGAAGCUCCGGUAAACGGCAGCAGUAACUAUGAACGCAGAUUGUAGUUAUAAAAUUUGGCUAUAUGCUGGAACAUCUUGACAGGUCAUUCGUACUGCUGAUUAAAUAAAGUCAGUAGUAAAAAUCGAAUGAAUAGAGACAAUCAGCAGGAAAGAUCAAAACAAAACAUUAAAGUUCCUGAACGAAUUGGUUGGUAUUUUGCAGGUUUUAUUGAUGGUGAGGGAAGUUUUAAUAUUUCUCUCCGGAAAAAAUCUGAUUAUAAACAACAAUGGCAACCAGUGUUGUCAUUCAAUGUUUCUCAAAGAGAAAAAACAGUCUUAACUUUGAUGCAACACUAUUUUCAGUGCGGAAUCAUUAAAAAAAGAAAAGACGGUUUACAUUCCUUUGAUAUAACAAAUCCAAUCGAAAUUCAGGAAAAAAUUAUUCCUUUUUUUACUAAAUAUAACUUUCUCUCAAGUAAUAAAAAUCAUAAUUUUAAGCUUUUUAAAAAAGCCGUCAAAAUUAUGUAUAAAAAAGAGCAUCUUAACAAAGAUGGUUUGAUUAAAUUACUUGAAAUAAGAGAAAAUCUAAAUCAGGGUAAAGGAAGAACAAGAAAAUAUUCGAUUAAUGACGUUUUGGAAUCCUCAGAGACUACACGCCAAACAUCACACAAGUGAUGAUGAUAUAGUCCGAUCCUUAUGGAGACAUAAGGAACCUAAUAGAAAUGUUUAGGUCUUCGAGUAAUUGAAUUACUCUAAAGUAACAAAAAUGAACUGUUCUACGGUAGCGAAGUUCCUUGUCGGGUAAGUUCCGACCCGCACGAAUGGCGUAACGAGCUAACAACUGUCUUAACCCUUCACUCGGCGAAAUUGCGUUGGCUGUGAAGACGCGGCCUACUUCCACCAGGACAAAAAGACCCCGUGAAGCUUUACUGU
rnacentral:rRNA from 2 species